rnacentral:rRNA from 1 species
CCUACGGGUGGCAGCAGUGAGGAAUAUUGGUCAAUGGGGGAAACCCUGAACCAGCGACGCCGCGUGAAGGAUGAAGGGGCUUUGCCCUGUAAACUUCUGUCGGAUGGGAAGAAAAGCCCCUCAUGGGGGCUGGGACUGUACCAUCAAAGGAAGGAUCGGCUAACUACGUGCCAGCAGCCGCGGUAAUACGUAGGAUCCAAGCGUUGUCCGGAUUUACUGGGUGUAAAGGGUGCGUAGGCGGACAUGUGCGUCAGAGGUUAAAUGUCACGGCUNAACCGUGAACCUGCCUUUGAUACGGCAUGUCUGGAGUGUGAGAGAGGAUGGUAGAAUUCCUGGUGUAGCGGUGAAAUGCGUAGAUAUCAGGAGGAAUACCAGUGGCGAAGGCGGCCAUCUGGCUCACAACUGACGCUGAGGCACGAAAGCGUGGGGAGCAAACAGGAUUAGAUACCCGGGUANUC